UACGUAGGCAGCGAGCGUUGUUCGGAGUUACUGGGCGUAAAGGGUGUGUAGGCGGUUCUUUAAGUUUGGUGUGAAAUCUCCCGGCUCAACCGGGAGGGCGCGCCGAAUACUGAGGAACUAGAGUACGGGAGAGGAAAGUGGAAUUCCUGGUGUAGCGGUGAAAUGCGUAGAUAUCAGGAGGAACACCGGUGGUGUAGACGGCUUUCUGGACCGUAACUGACGCUGAGACACGAAAGCGUGGGUAGCAAACAGG
rnacentral:rRNA from 1 species